rnacentral:rRNA from 1 species
UAGAGUUUGAUCCUGGCUCAGGAUGAACGCUGGCGGCGUGCCUAAUACAUGCAAGUCGAACGCACAGCGAAAGGUGCUUGCACCUUUCAAGUGAGUGGCGAAUGGGUGAGUAACACGUGGAUAACCUACCUCAAGGUUGGGGAUAACAUUUGGAAACAGAUGCUAAUACCGAAUAAAACUUAGUAUCGCAUGAUACCAGGUUAAAAGGCGCUACGGCGUCACCUAGAGAUGGAUCCGCGGUGCAUUAGUUAGUUGGUGGGGUAAAGGCUUACCAAGACAAUGAUGCAUAGCCGAGUUGAGAGACUGAUCGGCCACAUUGGGACUGAGACACGGCCCAAACUCCUACGGGAGGCUGCAGUAGGGAAUCUUCCACAAUGGGCGAAAGCCUGAUGGAGCAACGCCGCGUGUGUGAUGAAGGCUUUCGGGUCGUAAAGCACUGUUGUAUGGGAAGAACAGCUAGAGUAGGGAAUGACUUUAGUUUGACGGUACCAUACCAGAAAGGGACGGCUAAAUACGUGCCAGCAGCCGCGGUAAUACGUAUGUCCCGAGCGUUAUCCGGAUUUAUUGGGCGUAAAGCGAGCGCAGACGGUUAAUUAAGUCUGAUGUGAAAGCCCGGAGCUCAACUCCGGAAAGGCAUUGGAAACUGGUUAACUUGAGUGCAGUAGAGGUAAGUGGAACUCCAUGUGUAGCGGUGGAAUGCGUAGAUAUAUGGAAGAACACCAGCGGCGAAGGCGGCUUACUGGACUGUAACUGACGCUGAGGCUCGAAAGUGCGGGUAGCAAACAGGAUUAGAUACCCUGGUAGUCCACACCGUAAACGAUGAACACUAGGUGUUA